rnacentral:SRP_RNA from 2 species
GCUGGGUGUGGUGGCUCAUACCUGUAAUCCCAGUACUUUGGGAAGCUGAGGCAGGCGGAUCGCUUGAGGCCAGGGGUUCGAGACUAGCCUGGCCAAAAUAGCAAGACCCUGUCUCAA